CACUCAUCGGGUAAGUCAUUUAGAAACAUUUUCACAUCUCUUGUUGAUUAAUUGAUCUAAUCAACAGUUGAUGAUUAAUGAAAAAUGAAUCCAAUUGGUCACAUUUAAUUAACAAUUAACGGUGAACAAAAAUAAUCAGUUUACUUGGUUAUCUCCUUGGUGAUUACAAGUUGAACCUUUUUCCCGGUAAUUAUCAAUUCAAUUUAAUUCGUUACAAUUAACUCCCAAAAACUGUUAACCAUAAUACUAAUCCAGUUUAUUUGUGAUUGUAAUUAGAAAUGAACUUAAAUUGUGUGUGUUAUUUGAAUUAAUAAAAAAAAGGGAAGAAAC